UACGUAGGGUGCGAGCGUUGUUCGGAAUUACUGGGCGUAAAGCGCACGUAGGCGGGUCUGUAAGUCGGGGGUGAAAUCCCAGGGCUCAACCCUGGAACUGCCUUCUAGACUGCAGGCCUUGAGGUCAGGAGAGGCGAGUGGAAUACCGAGUGUAGAGGUGAAAUUCGUAGAUAUCGGGAGGAACACCCGUGGCGAAGGCGGCCAACUGGGAUACACCUGACGCUGAGGCACGAAGGCGUGGGGAGCGAACGGG
rnacentral:rRNA from 1 species